AAUGCUCAGCUUCAACCAUCCUCUUUGGUAAGCCUUACACUUCACGUGAGCUCCCACCUUUGGCGAGUUCAUACACAUUAUUCCCCACACUUGUUGAGCAAUGAACGUAUGUGAGCUCACUCUUGGUGUCUCACACCACCCACAGGUCAAGAACAGGUACCGCAAGAUGAGGCGCAUGGAAGAUAUUGUGACGAGUUCGUGAGAGGUCUAGGUCGUCGUCUCAUAGUCAACUUUGGGUUGCUGGAUCGUUGUCUUCAUAUGAUAUAAUUAUUUAUUUAUUUUGUACAGAACUCCUGUUAUGUAGUAAAGAUGUGACAUUCAAUCAUGUGCCAUGAUUCAUCAUAUGUGUGAGACUUGGUCCCAACACACCUGGUGAUUAUGUUCGCGCUCGGGUCUUGGUGCCCCGAAACCCGGUUAUAGGAGAGUUGAAAUGUUAUUAUAUAUAGUCACCUAUAGAUGUUUAAAUUGUAUAAAAUCCUAUAGCUUUUGAACUACAAUUUUGGCUAUAUUUUGUACGGGAUGUGCUACCAAAAUUUUUCCAAGAGAUUAUUGAAUUUUAAUUUUAUUACAAGUAAAAACGACCUUACAAUAUUUAGAUACACAUAAUAUUUGACUAUUAUCGAUACAUUUUAUAAAAUAAUGUAGACACACCAGUGCUGGAUGUACAAUGUCGAUCGAUGGUUCAAAUAAUUCAUUGGUAGUGUGUGUGAAUUCCAGAUACUAAUAAGGCGUUUGGCAGAGCUCCCAUUGUUCCACUCCCAGCGAGAAUCACUCCUACGUAGCCAAACA
rnacentral:lncRNA from 1 species